GCACAGAUCUCUUGGGGCUCUUGUUAAAGUGCAGAUUCUGGUUCAGCAGGUCUGGGAUGGGUCAGAGAGUCAGCAUCUCGGACAAGAUCUCAGGGAUGCUGAU
rnacentral:pre_miRNA from 1 species